ACAAUCAAAGUUUGCAGUAAUAUGUCAUUUGCGUCCUCACUAAAAUUUAUCGUUGUGCAGGUUUGUGACUUUGGGUUGUCACGCUUGAAGCAUAAUACUUUCUUGUCAUCCAAGUCAACUGCUAGAACAGUAAAUUUGGAAGCUUUCUUGAAAAUCAUUCUUGAAGAGUUUUCAAGGAUGGAGAGAGAACGAUAUCCAACUAUAUUGAAAUAGGUAAAGACAUUUGGAUGGUUUCUACUAAUAGCUUUCAGUGAAGUUAAAUGGACAAUUAGCAACAAAAGAGGAAACAAAGAGAAAACAACUAGAAACAUUAUUUUUGGUCAUUUCAGAAUUAGACUUCUUCUCUAAUGCAAUCUUAAACAGUCGGACAAGCAUGUACAUAGUGAUUCAAUUUGUGAAAUUAGAAAACAGUUUGCCAUAGCAUUACUAAACAAUGCCCUAAGAGUCUGAGAGUCUUGUUUUCCAUUUUUAUUUUAUACUUGGAUUUGAAAGAAACCAUUCUUGAUGUUUCUUGAGAUUUUGAGCUGUUCCUAAUGUGAAGUUUUUGGUCGUGUGAGGCUGAGUGGAUGGCACCAGAAGUUCUCCGUAAUGAACUGUCGAAUGAGAAGUGAAUUGUGCAUAUCUGAGGUAGCUUCAAUUAUUUUGUCCAAACUAAGUUUCUUAAGCUUGUCUUGCUUAGAUUUUGCGAUAGUCAAGCCUAAAUGAUUUCACUUAUGAGCGUUGCUGUGAUCAUAUGUUGUAAUUAUACUAUUAGGCCUUGUGUUUUUCAUUGCUUAAGCUGGAAAGCAUUCUUCCUGGCCUACUUUUUUGUCGAUAUUGGGAUUUGGAUGGACUUGGAUAAUGUCCUUCUGAUUGACCCUAUCACUGAUACCUUACACGAUAUUAUAUAUAGAAAAGAGAAAAAAGUUGCACCUUAAGCAAAGUUUCUUUUCGAUUGAAUGUGUAUCUUUUGAUGUCUGGAGAAUAGGACAUACAAAAUUGAGAAGAUGGAACUUUAUUUGAUCAGACUCUGCUUGGAUGUGACUGUCAGGGAAAAAGAGCUUUAUAAGAGCUGUAUAACUGAUGUUAUUCGCUCUAUAUACGUGCUGCUUGAGAUGAUAUGGUUAACCACAGCACUUCCUUUUCAUAAGCUUAAGCUGUAGGAGCUACAAAACUUUAUUCGAUGUUUCGUGGAUUGUGCAGAUGUGACAUUUUUAGUUUGGAGUCAUUCUCUGGGAGCUUGCCACUUUGAGAGUACCUUGGACUGGGAUGAACCCAAUGCAAGUUGAAGGUGACGUAGGUUUUCAAAAUCGCCGCCUCAAGAUCCCCAAAGAAAGUCGAUCCCUUGGUUGGAAAGAUCAUCUGGGAAUGUUGGCAGAAGUAAGAAAAAUUUGCAGCUACCAGAUCGGAUUGAUCAGUCUCGAGUUCCCACUUCAGUUCACAUAGCUUCACUUCGCCGGGGCUUACGAAGUUUUUCGGGCAGGAAUUGCCGUUGCUUCAACUUUGAAUCGUCGAGGAGACGGUCACCGAGUGGGCACAACCGUCGGGUCAACGUUGCGUGGCAGUCGCGGCACACAAAAGCUAUGGCGCCUUCCCCUGUUUCUGGAACAACCGACCCAUCGACCUUGAUGUUUGAGCACGCCAGGAGCUGGCACUGUCCAAACCAGGGGUGAAUCGCUUCUUUUUUGGAGUCCUCGACGAAGUUACCGUCACCCACCUGGUAAUUGUUUCGAUUCAUCGCCAAGGGCUGAGUCCAUGAUGAACAGGGGGGUUUGGAUUUUGAGCUCUGAACACAAAGUUGUUGCGGGCUUUCCAGACCUGCCGGAGUAACGAGGAGAGGAGUUCGAACGAGACCGAGGCGUGUUUAAGAUUCGCUAGCCAUGCCUAAAACCUGGUUGGUCAGUCCGCGAAUGUCGAUUCUGAUAUUGAUUGAUGGGUUUUCCCAAAUUUUGCUUUGUGCAGGGACACGCGAGGAAGAGAUGUUCAGUGAUUUCUGGAUGUUGCUCGCUUAUAGCACGGGUAGUUUCAGGAGAAUUCACAACAACAACAACAACAACCACAAUGCACUCUCUAAAGCUUGGUGUGCACGUGAGGGCUGAGGAACUGAGCGAAACAAGAACAAAACGUACAGACCGAGAUGACGGUUCCUCUCUAGCAAUUUUUAGCUGGGUUUCUCAUGUUACAUUCCUCGCCAAUUGAUAGGAAUUCCUGUUUAUAUAACACCACACCCUUCAUGCUCACCACCUGUUCGACAAUUUGCCUUGGAGAUGACCAUGAUGAAUCAAUUGAUCAAUUUGAGAUUGUAUAGGAGUGAUUUGUAUGUUGUUCAAGGUACUAACUGUAUAUGGCGAAUGGAUGCUUCAUCCUUUGAUGGCCUAGAGUUCUCCUUC